ACAACUGCAAAAACAAAAAAUUACCUGCAAUUACCAAAAAACCGCUGCAAAUAACCGCCAUCCCAGCCAUCACAAAAAAAUGUACUGCAAACAAAAAAAAGCGAUCAUAUCCAAAAAAGUUGCCUCAACAUCAGAAACACUGCAGACAUUAAAAACGUCUAACGGAAGUGAAUCUUGAAAACACCAGUGACGUCACGACUGAUCGGAGAUCAGUUUGCAGAUUUAUACACCAGAAGUGCAUUGGUUUUUGCUAUAUUCACUGCUGCGACAAGGAGGAAAACAGGAGUACGAAUCAGAAAACGGACGAGAGAGUGUGGUCAUGUUUUGUCCUUUCUGUGGGGUGAACCUUCCAUGCAUCCUGGUAUACUGUAGCUCAUGCUACAGAAAUGUCAGGUUCCUAUUGAGUCUUCAAGAUGAAGGUCAUGAAGCUACUUCACUGGAUGGACUUAUCCAAAAAUAUUUCACAGAGGGCCAUAGUUAUGAAAUAAUAGUUGACUUACUGAAAUCAAAACACAACAUAUCAGUCAGUCUUCGCAAUCUAGAACGAAGAUUAAAAGAUGCAGGCCUGACCAGAAGACUGAACUACACUCCAAUUGCUACUCUGAGGACAGUUAUUUCUGAGGAGCUAAAGGGAUCAGGCCAUCUUUUAGGAUAUAGAGCGAUGUGGCAGAUUUUGAAACAAAAACACUCUUUUGUCGUCAGACGAGAUGAUGUGAUGCACCUCAUGGCAGAGCUGGAUCCAUGUGGAACAGAGAAUCGCA